ensembl:lncRNA
AAAAAAAAGCAAACUUCAAAAUAAAAUACAAUCUGUGCCUGACUAAUCCCUUUUUAUUCAGUCACUAAGUCGUGUCCAACUCUUGGCAACCUCAUGAACUGCAACAUGCCUUUCGAUCUUUCUCAUCAUGUUCAUCAACAGGGUUUUAUGUACCCAAAAGGCAAGGCACUUUUUUGCUUCAAAAUAUCUUUAGCAGAGGAAAUUGUGGUAACAGAGUUGAAAAACGAUUUGAGGUGCAUUUUUUUUUUUUUUGGACAUUCUAAGUCGCUUCAGUCAUGUCCAACUCUUUGCGACCCUAUGGACUGUAGCCCAUCAGGCUCCUCUAUCCAUGGGAUUCUCCAGGCAAGAAUACUGGGGUGGGUUGCCAUUUCCCUCUCUAGGGGAUCCUCCCCACCCAGGGAUCAAACCCAUGUCUCCUAGAGUCUCCUGCAUUGGCAGAUGGGUUCUUUACCACUGUGCCACCUGGGAGGCCUCCUAUUCCCCAAAAGCCUUUAAUGGCCCAUCAAACAAAGACUAGAGCUUUAGCAUGGCAUUUCCAAUCAGCAUGCCCUUUUAUUCUGAUCUUCCCUCUUUUUUUUUUUUUUUUUUUUUGGUCUGCUUCCCACCUGUCUCACUCCCUAUAUUCAGACCACGCUAGCCUGCUGGACACAGACACGACCUCACCAUUCCUGUUCAUCAUCUCUCUUGGGGUUUAUUCCCUUUCUGUAGAAUACCAAUUGCUUCAUCCCCACACAACUCACAUUCUUCACAUGCUACAAUGCCCAAUUCAAAGGUUACCUUGUCUUCAAGGUCUUCUCCCUUUCAUGAUCUUUCUGUCCUUUAUUACAUUCUACCUUUGAAAUUGUGGAAGUGUUUCCUCCCCUGCCUCCAUGACCCCUGAUGUAAACUCUUUACAGGCAGGGGCCAAUGUCUUGAAGCAUUUUGGUACCUACGAUAUGUCUGAACACAGCAGAUACCAAAUAAAUAUCCUUUUUGAUUGAAUGGCUAAAAAUAGCCACCAUUUCUUGAGGGCAUUUUACAUGCCACGCACUGUGCUAAGUACUUCACAUGCCUUAUCUCAUUUGACCCCCUCAAAACUAUUGGGUUUCUUUGGGCUGCACCACAGAGCUUGUGGAAUCUUAAUUCCCCAACCAGGGAUCAAACCCAUGCCCUCCACAGGGAAAGUGCAGAGUCCUAACCACUGGACAGCCAGGAAAUUCCCCUCAAAAUUACUAUUAUGCUCAUUUUACAAAUGAGGUAACUGGUACUUCAAGGCUAAGCAACUAACCAUGAUGGUACAAUUGAAAAGCAGUGGGGCUGGAAUCUCAACUUCAACUUGCCAGGUUCUGGAGCCAAACCCUCCACUACUGUAUUUUCCUGCCUCUGAAUCCAAGACAGACAUAUCUGCGCAAACAGAAAAUAUAAGUGAGUUCUGAUGGGAUUUAAUAAAAAUAGUGAACCCCUCCCCCACAGUGGUUUAACUCAAAAUGGAUUAAAGAUCUCAACAUAAGACCAGAAACUAUAAAACUCCUAGAGGAGAACAUAGGCAAAACACUCUCUGACAUACAUCACAGCAGGAUCCUCUAUGACCCACCUCCCAGAAUAUUGGAAAUAAAAGCAAAAAUAAACAAAUGGGACCUAAUUAAACUUAAAAGCUUCUGCACAUCAAAGGAAACUAUUAGCAAGGUGAAAAGACAGCCUUCAGAAUGGGAGAAAAUAAUAGCAAAUGAAGCAACCGACAAACAACUAAUCUCAAAAAUAUACAAGCAACUCCUACAGCUCAACUCCAGAAAAUAAAUGACCCAAUCAAAAAUGGGCCAAAGAUCUAAAUAGACAUUUCUCCAAAGAAGACAUACAGAUGGCUAACAAACACAUGAAAAGAUGCUCAACAUCACUCAUUAUCAGAGAAAUGCAAAUCAAAACCACUAUGAGAUACCAUUUCACACCAGUCAGAAUGGCUGCGAUCCAAAAGUCUACAAAUAAUAAAUGCUGGAGAGGGUGUGGAGAAAAG